rnacentral:tRNA from 1 species
GGGGUUUUGAGAUCUGAGCAGGCAGAUUCGAUGGCAGCAACGUAAUGUACAUUAAGUACAUGAGGCGCNGACAGAUGAAUCUAACGAACUUAGAACGCAAAAGAACUAACACAAUUUGGGGGUGUAGCUCAGCUGGGAGAGCGCCUGCCUUGCACGCAGGAGGUCAUCGGUUCGAUCCCGUUCACCUCCACCCAAUAUAUGUGUGAUCUGUGAAGAGUGUGAGUAUGGAUAAGAUAUUUGAACGUAGGAUGAUCGGAAGAUUGGACUGCGUUAGAUGGAUGACAGAGUAAAGACGAAUACAAUAAACAAUCUAGUUUAACAUUAUAGUGUUAAGUUAGGCUGACGAAAGUUAGGCUAAUAAAACACAAACGCGAAACUAAAUUCAAUUUAACAGAAGCUCUUAAGAGUAAUUCUUGGGAGCGUCGAGUCAAACUUGUUUUAGGGAUGUUGAGUUAGAACUAGGCGAGUUCAAGAGAGGCGACGCAAUGUAUGAAUAAUACAUGAGGAGCCAAACGAAGAACUCAACGACGUAAAUAACUCAAGAGACCAAAACAAGGAUAUCAAGCGUCAAAAGGGCAUCUGGUGGAUGCCUAGGCACAAAGAGGCGAUGAAGGACGUGCUAA